GACGAACGCUGGCGGCGUGCUUUACACAUGCAAGUCGAACGGUGAAGGUGGAGCUUGCUCCGCCGGAUCAGUGGCGAACGGGUGAGUAACACGUGGGCAACCUGCCCCUAACUUUGGGAUAACUACUCGAAAGAGUAGCUAAUACCGGAUAUGAAGUCUGUAGGCAUCUACGGACUUGGAAAGUUUUUCGGUUAGGGAUGGGCCCGCGGCCUAUCAGCUUGUUGGUGAGGUAGUGGCUCAACAAGGCGACGACGGGUAGCCGGCCUGGGAGGGCGACCGGCCACACUGGGACUGAGACACGGCCCAGACUCCUACGGGAGGCAGCAGUGGGGAAUAUUGCGCAAUGGGCGAAAGCCUGACGCAGCAACGCCGCGUGCGGGAUGAAGGCCUUCGGGUUGUAAACCGCUUUCAGCAGGGAAGAAGCGAAAGUGACGGUACCUGCAGAAGAAGCACCGGCUAACUACGUGCCAGCCGCCGCCGUAA
rnacentral:rRNA from 1 species